AUGCCAGUAUGUCUGUGUGUGUAUGCCAGUAUGUCUGUGUGUGUGUGUGUGUCAGUAUGUCUGUGUGUGUGUGUGCCAGUAUGUCUGUGUGUAUGCCAGUGUGUCAGUAUGUCUGUGUGUAUGUAGGUAUGUCUCUGUGUGUGUGUGUACGUGUGUGUCAGUAUGUCUGCCAGGAUAUAUUUGUGUGUCAGUGUAUGUGUGUGUCAG
rnacentral:lncRNA from 1 species